ACAAACGACUGUUGGGGAUUCAUUCAAUUUAGGGCAUCUGUUUUGUUUUUGUAUCACUGCUGGUUACCUCCCGUUUAAUAACAAGAAAGUGCAAGAUUAAUUAAAAUGGAUCCCUGAAGCCUCUCAUCUUAUCUCUCGCCUCCAGAAUACCAAUCCGGAUUCCAGACCAACAGCUAGAGAUGUAUGCAACGACAUUCUAUUCUGGGACUCCGAGUUCAUUCUCUCCUUCUAUCAAGAAACAAGCGCCAUCAUUAAAUCAAAAAAAUGCGAUCCUGGUCUCCGAAAGGCACUGCUACAAAUCAAAGAUUACGAUAAUUGGGACCAAGUGUUAGACAAAGCACUCGUAGAAGACAUAAAGCAUCACGCAAAAAACAUAACUGCAGACCUCUGUGGUUUAAUACAAGGCAUUAGAAACAAAUAUACUCACCGUGAUGAAUUCACGAAACCGCUGAAAAGUUUGUUUGGGGAGGACACCACAGGAUUGGAGGCAUAUUUUAGGUACAAGUUUCCGAGACUUUUAAUGGAUGUGUAUAAGGUUAUGAAAGAGCAUUGUGUGAGAGGACCGUUUCAUCAAAAGUAUUUUGGAGAAUAACAGUUUUUAAGUUAUAAGCUGCUUCUGAUGGUUUAUGGCUUGGUUUAGAAAAAUGCGCUCGGAUACGUGAUGGUUUCCAAAAACGCAUCCUGUACGUGAUGCGAUGCAUGCGAUUCCCAUGAUGAUGUGUAUGCUUUUAUGGAUGCGAUGUGAGGCGUGAUGCAUAAGCCUUCUACACCUGAUGUGCUGUGUGGGUUUUUAUUUAUUAAGAUAACGCUUUUAAUGGGUUUUAUUGACACACGGACUUCCAAGACUUUUAAGCCCUAAAACAUCGAUCUAUCUACUCAAUUUCAAGACCCCUGUUUCAGCAUUGAUCCUGUCAACUGUAGUUACAUACAGAAUAAAUCUCUAAGAACCCUGUUUAAGCAUCGACCCCCAAUCAAUUUCAAACAAUUUUAGUAUCCAGAGUGAGUUAUUUCUUUAUUUAUUCGCGAUUAGCUGAGUACUUUUUGUUAUCAAUCAGCUUCAGAUAUUUGGUAUAACCAAGUAGAUUGUUAUCACUCUGAAUUGUAAAUCAGCUUCUGAAUUCUUGCUGA